rnacentral:ncRNA from 1 species
UCCCCGAUUGAUUCUGUCGGCGGUUAUAUGCUUGUCUCAAAGGCUAAGCCAUGCAUGUCUAAGUUCAAAUAAACCUAUAAUGGUGAAACCGCGAACGGCUCAUUAUAACAGCUAUAAUGUACUUGAUGUUGAUUAUCCAACGUGGAUAACUGUGGCAAUUCUAGAGCUAAUACAUGCACCAAAGCUCCGAAUUUUAAACGAGCAAGUCUAUUAGAUUAAAACCAAUCGGAUUAUUAAUUUUAAUCUCGUUAUAUUGGUGACUGCUGAAUAG